rnacentral:rRNA from 1 species
CAGCCGUAAACUAUGCUCGCUAGGUGUCAGGCAUGGCGCGACCGUGUCUGGUGCCGCAGGGAAGCCGUGAAACGUGCCGCCUGGGAAGUACGGUCGCAAGGCUGAAACUUAAAGGAAUUGGCGGGGGGAGCACCACAACGGGUGGAGCCUGCGGUUUAAUUGGACUCAACGCCGGGAAGCUCACCGGAUAAGACAGCGGAAUGAUUGCCGGGCUGAAGACUCUGCAUGACUAGCUGAGAGGAGGUGCAUGGCGUAGACGUCU